rnacentral:rRNA from 1 species
GACGAACGCUGGCGGCGUGCUUAACACAUGCAAGUCGAACGAUGAAGCGGUGCUUGCACCGUGGAUUAGUGGCGAACGGGUGAGUAAUACGUGAGUGACCUACCUUUGACUCUGGGAUAAGCCUGGGAAACUGGGUCUAAUACCGGAUACGACCAAUCUCUGCAUGGGGUGUUGGUGGAAAGCGUUAUGGAGUGGUUUUAGAUGGGCUCACGGCCUAUUAGCUUGUUGGUGAGGUAAUGGCUUACCAAGGCGACGACGGGUAGCCGGCCUGAGAGGGUGACCGGCCACACUGGGACUGAGACACGGCCCAGACUCCUACGGGAGGCAGCAGUGGGGAAUAUUGCACAAUGGGCGCAAGCCUGAUGCAGCGACGCCGCGUGAGGGAUGACGGCCUUCGGGUUGUAAACCUCUGUUAGCAUCGAAGAAGCGAAAGUGACGGUAGGUGCAGAGAAAGCGCCGGCUAACUACGUG